CGCAUGAAAUAAAGUAAAGAAAAGUAGUGUGUGGAAUGUAUAUGCAUGUGGUUUAGCUUAGUUGAAUAUGAUUUUGAUUUUGGUGAGUGUAUAGUGAAGUGAACACGAUUCCAUUGUUUAGAAAAGCUUGUUUUUGUUUUGAAUGUGGGUAAGAGUGAAGAUAGAAGUAACGUGUUGGGUUUAAGCACUUCCAAAAUUGGUUCAGAAAGAAAGGUGUGUGUGAUAAGCAA
rnacentral:lncRNA from 1 species